rnacentral:lncRNA from 10 species
GGGAAGAUGUUUGAGGCCAGGAGUUUGAGGCUGCAGUGAACUAUGAUUGCGCCACUGCACUCCAGCCUGGGUGACAGAGCAAGACCCUGUCUCUACAUAAAUAAUUUUUUGAAAAAAUUCACUGAACUGUAUGCUUAAAAUGAGUCAAUGUUUAGGCAUAUUAAUUAAACUACAAUAGGCCGGGAGUGGUGGUUCACGCCUGUAAUCCCAGCACUUUGGCAGGAGGAUCACUUGAGUUCAGGAGUUUGAGACCAGCCUGGCCAACAUGGGGAAACCCUGUCUCUAUUAAAAAUACAAAGAUUAGCCAGGCGUGGUGGUGAACACCUGUAAUCCUAACUACUUGGGAGGCUGAGGCAGGAGAAUCGCUUGAACCUCACUGCAGAGGUUGCAGUGAGCCAAGAUCGCGCCACUGCACUCCAGCCUGGACAACAGACUGAGACUCCGUCUCAAAAAAAAAAAACAAAGAAAAAACCAAAGAAAAUAUCAUUCUGGCUGCAGCAUGGAAGAUGGAUUUGAGAGGCCAGAGGGGAAACAGCCACCCGUGAAGCGGCUGUGGCACUAGCCUAGGCUGCAGGCAGUGGUGGCUUGGCCUAGGACAGCAUGGAGACGGGCAGAGGGAGCUGAUUUGGGAGGGAGCUGGGGCUAUUAAGUUGAACGGGUGAUGCAGUGGGUGUGGGGGAUGAAAAGGGAUCAAGAGUGAAGCUUUUCUGGCUCACGCAGAGAUGGAUGAUGCUGGGAUUCUUUGAGACAGGAGUUUAAUCAUUCAACAAACAUUUGUUAGGAUACUACUGUGUCAAGGUGUCAGACACCAAGCAAGAGACUUUUUUGAGAUGGGGUCUUGCUCUGUUGCCCAGGCUGGUGUGCAGUGGCACAAUCACAGCUCACUACAGUCUCGAACUCCUGGGCUCAAGCAAUCCUCCCACCUCAGCCUCCUUCCUGAGUAGCUGGGACUACAGGCAUGCACCACACACUUGGCUAAUUUUUUUUAUGUUUGUAGAGAUGGGGUCUCACUAGAUUGCCCAGGCUGGUCUGGAACUCCUGGCCUCAAGUGAUCCUCCCACCUCAGCCCCCUGAAGUGCUGGGAUUACAGGCAUGAGCCACUGCGGCCCAGCCAAGAGAUUUUUAAGAAGAGUUUAUUUUCAAGGAACUUACAGUCCCAUAGGGAAGCAAAACCUGGAUGCGUGGAUGGGUGUACCAAGCCAGACUCCAAGCAGAGGUGGGACACACAAAAGACAAUGUGACCAGUCCUACGAGGAGCCUUAUGGAAGAACUGACCCUGAGUUGGAGGGGGUGACAGGGGUAGGGAGGUGGGAGACAGUAAAGGCAUAGAGAAAAAAAGGCAAAAUGGUAUGUUGCAACUUCAAGUAUGAUCAGCUACAUUGCCAUCACUUGGGACCUUGCUGGAAAUGCAGCAUCUCACGCCCCACCUGAGCUGCUGAUCCAGCAUCUGCACACUAACAAGGUCCCCAGACAACCUGUGUGCACACUGACGAGAGUCUCUGGUCUCCUUGAGAAUUCUGAGCCAUACAUCAGACCCACCUGCAUCUACACCGGGCUGUGCAAUGGGAGGCCCUGUGGUCUAGAGCACGUUCAUUCAUCUUUCUAAGCUUCUGUCUUUUUUUUUUGAGACAGCGUCUCACUCUCUCGCCCAGGCU